rnacentral:lncRNA from 1 species
UAUUCUGAUAUUAUAUGUAAUUAGAUUUUUUUUCACUUUGCAAUUAAUUUUUUGAAUAUUACUAAAAAGACAUGAAGUUUAAAAAUACAAAAAAACACCAGUUUUAUACGAAAGCCUCAUCUGGUCUAUCUUCUUGGCAUGCACAACCCCUGAAUGAAAGCAUCGAUCGUAACAAUAAAUGUUGAGAGGCUGGUUGCUUCUUCCCAAACCCUGAAUCUUGUUCCAAGCAUCCUCAAUUGAACUACCUCCACAGAGACCAUGGACAUAUACCGAUCAGAAGUAACAUCUAACAGCUGGGUUUUUAGGUCGUGAAACGGUAAAGAUAAGUCAGUGGAGUGGCGGAGAGAGAGGGCAGAAUGGACGUGAAGAUAGAGAGGGCAGUGCAGACCUGGUUUCUGUUCAAGGAUGAGGGCGACAAUGGUGGUUGGUGAGUGUAGGGUCAGUUUGUUACGUUGGUUUGAUCAUCAAAGAUAGAGGAGGAAGAUGAGAUUGUAACAGCUAGGGUUUAUAAGAAAAAA